AGAGUUUGAUCAUGGCUCAGAUUGAACGCUGGCGGCAGGCCUAACACAUGCAAGUCGAGCGGAUGAGUGGAGCUUGCUCCAUGAUUCAGCGGCGGACGGGUGAGUAAUGCCUAGGAAUCUGCCUGGUAGUGGGGGACAACGUUUCGAAAGGAGCGCUAAUACCGCAUACGUCCUACGGGAGAAAGUGGGGGAUCUUCGGACCUCACGCUAUCAGAUGGGCCUAGGUCGGAUUAGCUAGUUGGUGAGGUAAAGGCUCACCAAGGCGACGAUCCGUAACUGGUCUGAGAGGAUGAUCAGUCACACUGGAACUGAGACACGGUCCAGACUCCUACGGGAGGCAGCAGUGGGGAAUAUUGGACAAUGGGCGAAAGCCUGAUCCAGCCAUGCCGCGUGUGUGAAGAAGGUCUUCGGAUUGUAAAGCACUUUAAGUUGGGAGGAAGGGCAGUAAGUUAAUACCUUGCUGUUUUGACGUUACCAACAGAAUAAGCACCGGCUAACUUCGUGCCAGCAGCCGCGGUAAUACGAAGGGUGCAAGCGUUAAUCGGAAUUACUGGGCGUAAAGCGCGCGUAGGUGGUUCGUUAAGUUGGAUGUGAAAGCCCCGGGCUCAACCUGGGAACUGCAUCCAAAACUGGCGAGCUAGAGUAUGGCAGAGGGUGGUGGAAUUUCCUGUGUAGCGGUGAAAUGCGUAGAUAUAGGAAGGAACACCAGUGGCGAAGGCGACCACCUGGGCUAAUACUGACACUGAGGUGCGAAAGCGUGGGGAGCAAACAGGAUUAGAUACCCUGGUAGUCCACGCCGUAAACGAUGUCCACUAGUCGUUGCUAUCCGUGAGAUCUUAGUAAUGCACCUAACGGAUUAAGUGUUCCGCCUGGGGAGUACGGUCGCAAGAUUAAAACUCAAAGGAAUAGACGGGGACCCGCACAAGCGGUGGAGCAUGUGGUUUAAUUCGAAGAUACGCGAAAAACCUUACCUGGCCUUGAUAUCCUAAGAAUCCUGUAGAGAUACGGGAGUGCUUGCUUGCAAGAGCUUAGAGACAGGUGCUGCACGGCUGUCGUCAGCUCGUGUCGUGAGAUGUUGGGUUAAGUCCCGCAACGAGCGCAACCCUCGUGUUUAGUUGCUAACGGUUCGGCCGAGCACUCUAAACAGACUGCCUUCGUAAGGAGGAGGAAGGUGAGGACGACGUCAAGUCAUCAUGGCCCUUAUGGCCAGGGCUACACACGUGCUACAAUGGAUAGGACAAUGAGACGCAAUACCGCGAGGUGGAGCAAAUCUAUAAACCUAUUCUCAGUUCGGAUUGUUCUCUGCAACUCGAGAACAUGAAGCUGGAAUCGCUAGUAAUCGUAGAUCAGCAUUGCUACGGUGAAUACGUUCCCGGGUCUUGUACUCACCGCCCGUCACACCAUGGGAGUUGAAUUCACCCGAAGCGGGGAAGCUAAACUGGCUACCCUCCACGGUGGGUUCAGCGACUGGGGUGAAGUCGUAACAAGGUA
rnacentral:rRNA from 1 species